UGGGGGUACCACUUUAAGGACUGAUAUGAGGAGAGAUGGACAGCCUGCCCAACCAAUCGAAAUGCACAGGUCCCAGUAUGUUUUGACCAAUGGGAGAGCAGUCUGCCGCUGUAUGUCCCACCUACGUGCUCUGUGUUUGCUGCUAUGUGUGGAGGUAGUCGCGUGCUGGCAGGAGAAAAGAGAGACUGAAGCUUUUGAGCUGGAAAAAAAGUAUUAGAUAUAAGUUGCAACCAACUGUGUUGCACAUAAGUUCACUGGUUAUCAGCUACCUUUCAUGUUAAAAGUAGCCACAGUGAGUAAGCAGGCAAAUGCUGCAUUUUUCUGGUGACUUUAAAAAGUACCGCGUGGAGCUAAACUGUUAGCCUUUGUUAGCUCUGGUUGCUAUCAACUGCCUGGAAGUUCAUCUCAAUCUGCUUCCAGAAGUAAGGUAACACUUGAAGCGCAACUUAUGUUUAUUUUUCCUUCAUGUCGUAUUACGGUUAUUAAAGAGAAAACAUGUCCUGUUACGUUAUUUAGAGCCCUGCAUUUUCCGACCGAGAGACACUAUGCCAUUGUCUUCGGCCGUGAUGCGCUGAGAUCGGUGAUUGUCAGGUUUUUUUGUAUGCUGAAUUGUUCCUGAGGUGGAUUCCUCCAGUGAAAUAGAUGGCGAGCCUUCCCACCUGGACUUAGAGAGACUGAGAUUCGCUUCUUUUCCACUUGAUGAUCUGCUGCACCUUGCGGUGUGGUAGGACUGUAUCACUCACACUUUCACGCACAGCUGGUUAUACAUAAGACCACUGACUGACAUUCUCUCAUCCCUAUUUUCUUUCACACCCUGGGAAUUUUUUGGACUUUACCCCUUGGACAUUUUUUAUUUGGGACUUUAAAUAAUGAGCUGUUGUGUAGAGCAUUCUCCACAUGUGAAAAGAAUGUGAAAUUUUCAUUUGAAUGUACAUUGGAAUUGUGUAAUCUGUUUCUAUAAGAGUUAAGGAGUCAGGUUACUAGGGUGCACCCGAGCAUUGAAACCCGAACAUUGAAAACCAAAAAUAACACUUGGCCAAGUCAUUGCUUUAGUAGUUUGUGUUUUACUUUUCUUUUCAUUUUUGUAAGUUUCCUUUCUACCAUUGUAAAGUGUCUUUAACCUGUGCUUGUCAACCUUAUGGUUUAUGUCACUAAAGUUGGACGGUUCUUUUGAGUUA